rnacentral:lncRNA from 1 species
GUUUCUCCCAAGAGAAUCACUGCCAAAGUAAACAAACAUCUUCAUGAAAGGAAAAUAAUGUCUGAGGAGCAUUCAGAAUUCCAUGUUUUACAGAAGAGUAUUUAUGGCAACCAACUAGUGAAUUAAAGUGAAAGAAAUCCCAUUACUAGUUUGCUGCUUCUGCUGUGCUAAUCGAAAGUGGCAAUUUCUGCUUGCUUCUCUGCGCUACAGUGCAGGGUCUCAGUAUAAGCUGUAAUUUAAAAUGAAGGAAAUUAUGAGAUGAAACUCUUUUUAGAAGCAGUGUUAUGUUGGGUUUGCUUUUAUUUUUCUUAAUUGUUGGUAAUUGUAUAGAGCUUCUGCAUGUAAAACUCAGGGGAACUGCUAUUGUCUCCAAAAUGUUCUGCGUGUGGUUGGCAAGAACAACAAGCACAGAAGAAAGUUCAGCUAAAAAAUUCAUAAAAGCUGCCUGGUGGAAUGCAUUGCAAUCAGCUGUACACCUUGGUGCUCUUAUCCCUCUGAACUGAUCAUUUUUAGCUGAGAUGAAACAUUCUGAGGAGCAGGAGCCUGGCAGAUUUGCGGCGUAGAUUGUUUGAAGGUUUAAACACUGUGACUAUCUCAUCUUACUGCAAGUCUGUAGAUAGAACAUAAGCUCAAGUUGCUGAAAAGUGAUAGAAUGGCUCUGUGUGCACAGCCUACAAAACUGUGAAGGGCUUAUUUUCUGUGUGCUUUCUGCGUUCCCUCCAGGAGAGCAGUAAUUCCCCAGUGGAGCAAGCACACUUUGCAUUUGUUGAGGAUGAGACUGUCUCUAGUCCUUUGUUUGGGCAGCGGCUUUCACAAAGGGGACCAGUACUCACUGGGAACUUGCCAGCACCAUCAUAUGUUUCAUGACAAAUGCUAAGUGUUCAGAAAGUUGGCACUACAAAAUAGAGAUACUGUUAAUCUCUGUUUAAUUCUCAAAAUGGCUUGUAGGAUUUUAAAGCUUGUGUUGUUGCUGGUGCACUCACCCAUCAGAUAGCAUUUUUAACAGCCCUUCUAAUAUGGCCGGUUAAUUUGGUUAUAUUACUAGGAUGUAAAACAAAAUGAUUCCUAGGAUAGAGAUUGCUAGAUUGCUAAGAUUUUACUGCCGUUUUUUUCCUAUCUGCUGCGUGCUGAAGAACAGUGUGUCCAGCCACAUGUAUUGCUGUAGUCAGACCAUGGUAUUUUCUCAUCUUCUUUCCCAUGUACAGCUCAGACACAGCUGCCGCUAUUUACCAAACACAAAGGUGUUUUUCACAGCUCAGAGAGGAGCGAGCUCAUAGAUCUUUGGAUACGUCUCCAGAGACAUGAUGAUUCCAGCGUCAGAAUAAUCUGCUCCAUAACGUGACCACAUUUAGGAGACCAGCUCCUGGGAGGAGACCCAAGGAGACAUCUUGAAAUUUCUGAGCAGAGAGGCUUUUGACACAGAGUUGGUGUACGCCGGAUGGCAUCCAGUUGGUAGCCUGCAUUGCUGGUGCAGCAGGAGGAAGCAAGCCUCUGACAAGAGCUAGAUAUGUCACCCUGCAGGACUGCACGGACAGCUUAAAUGGAGUGUAUGUUUGCACCUAAGCAGACUGUUAAGUAACAGAAGUGAGGUCAACAGCUCCAAGAGUGACUAUCGCAAUAUCCAGCAGCCAUAGCACUGACAUUGAGACUGGCUGGGCCAUGAGGUCAUGCUUCUGGGAGGAUGAAGAGGAAGGCCUGGAUGCACUGAGGAAGAGAGUUGAACUCAACUUUGCUAUACAGCAGAUGAAUAUUCACCCUGGUGUAUAUAUAUAUAUAAAUCUAUUUAUUUAAAAGCAAGUAAGUUCAACUUCUGAACAGUGCAUGGUAACUGUUAGGGAAGCUCUCUUUUUUUCUCCCACCCAUCUUCAUCCUCCUUUUAAACAUUCCUAACUUUGGUCGGG